GAUGAACGCUGGCGGCGUGCCUAAUACAUGCAAGUCGAGCGAACGGACGAGAAGCUUGCUUCUCUGAUGUUAGCGGCGGACGGGUGAGUAACACGUGGAUAACCUACCUAUAAGACUGGGAUAACUUCGGGAAACCGGAGCUAAUACCGGAUGAUAUUUUGAACCGCAUGGUUCAAAAGUGAAAGACGGUCUUGCUGUCACUUAUAGAUGGAUCCGCGCUGCAUUAGCUAGUUGGUAAGGUAAUGGCUUACCAAGGCAACGAUGCAUAGCCGACCUGAGAGGGUGAUCGGCCACACUGGAACUGAGACACGGUCCAGACUCCUACGGGAGGCAGCAGUAGGGAAUCUUCCGCAAUGGGCGAAAGCCUGACGGAGCAACGCCGCGUGAGUGAUGAAGGUCUUCGGAUCGUAAAACUCUGUUAUUAGGGAAGAACAUAUGUGUAAGUAACUGGGCACAUCUUGACGGUACCUAAUCAGAAAGCCACGGCUAACUACGU
rnacentral:rRNA from 1 species